CAGAAACAAGGGAGGAAUGAUCAGAAAGAAGACCAGAGAUAUAAUCUUCAUCUUCAAGUUCUUGAUCUGAGCCUGGAGGUGAAUGUAUGAAGAGAGUAUCUCCUGAAAUGUCUUAUGGUGUAUUUAGUGGAAGAUGUGGACCAACUGUUUAAACACUGGUUGUUCAGAAAGAUGAAGCUCAGGCUGAACUUGAGAGGUGCACGAUGGCCCUGUUUGUCCUCAGGGAGGAAGAGGCCUGUCCUC